rnacentral:tRNA from 1 species
GCCGCCGUGGCCUACUGGUUAGGGCUUUUGACUUGUAACCGGAGGGUUGCCGGUUCGAACCCCGACUAGUAGGA